rnacentral:rRNA from 1 species
GAUGAACGCUGGCGGCGUGCCUAAUACAUGCAAGUCGAGCGAACGGACGAGAAGCUUGCUUCUCUGAUGUUAGCGGCGGACGGGUGAGUAACACGUGGAUAACCUACCUAUAAGACUGGGAUAACUUCGGGAAACCGGAGCUAAUACCGGAUAAUAUUUUGAACCGCAUGGUUCAAAAGUGAAAGACGGUCUUGCUGUCACUUAUAGAUGGAUCCGCGCUGCAUUAGCUAGUUGGUAAGGUAACGGCUUACCAAGGCAACGAUGCAUAGCCGACCUGAGAGAGUGAUAGGCCACACUGGAACUGAGACACGGUCCAGACUCCUACGGGAGGCAGCAGUAGGGAAUCUUCCGCAAUGGGCGAAAGCCUGACGGAGCAACGCCGCGUGAGUGAUGAAGGUCUUCGGAUCGUAAAACUCUGUUAUUAGGGAAGAACAUAUGUGUAAGUAACUGUGCACAUCCUGACGGUACCUAAUCAGAAAGCAACGGCUAACUACGUG